UUCAGCUAUGGAACUUCUUACGUUUGUAUGUUUUAUUUCUUAAAUUUUUUAUACACCGCUUGAUUGUAAAGACAAACAAACAAAAAUAACAGGGAUUGACGUGGCCAGGAACAAUAUACUGUAUAGUCCAGUUAAUCGUACCUUCUGGGCGGUUCACACCUUAAAAGUCAACAAAAUGCAAAUACAGUAAUCUGUCAACUCAUGUAAAAGCCGCACCAGUAAAUUGCUACCUGCUGUGUGGAUUAAGCUUUGGUAUUCUGUGGUAAAAGAAUCUUUGGGUUUGUUAUGUACUCCAGGUCUAAAACAUGAUAUACUUGAAUGCCCUUUUCAUGCAUUCUGGAACAGAUACCUAAUAGUAUUAAUACAGUAAUGUGUUCUCCAAAGAAGAUACAAAAUUAGGCAGUGCUGGCUUGGGCAAGCAACUCAGGUACAGUCAUACCCAGGGUUAAAGUUGCUUCAGGUUGAGCGUUUUCAGGUUACGCUCUGCAGCGACCCGGAAGUAACGGAACGCGUUACUUCUGUGUUUCACCACUCGUGCAUGUGCAGACGCUCAAAAUGACGUCACGCGCAUGUGCAGAAGUGGCAAAUCGUGACCCGCGCAGACACGGGUUGCAUUUUUCUCUGGAUGCGAAUGGGGUUCCAAAACGGAUCCCGUUUGCAUCCAGAGGUACCAGUGUAGUUUGGAGCAGCAAUAUUUCCCUCCCUCCAUUGCUGCUCCAAAUACAAAUAGAAGGAAAGGGGUGGGUAUGUCAGUUUUUAAUAUUGUUCUAAAUUUGUAUUAAUUUGGUGACAAUUUGUAUAAAAAAAGGAAAAUCUAAAGUGUAGCAGUAUUUUAGGUAGGGCACUAAAGUAUCAAGGCAACUCCUGACUUCUUUUGCAAGGGAUUCUGGAACACACCUUUCAGAACAUUCAUUAUUUGCUUCCCACAUUUAUACCCAUCCUACCCAGGAGCUUAAGAUGUUAUGCAUAUAACUCCAUGUUAUCUUCACAACAAACUUUUGAGGUGAACUGGCGUGGGAGUUUGACUAGGAUGACCCAGGAAGCAAGGUUCAAACCCUAAUAAUCAGGAUUCAUGUCUACUAAACUGCACAGUGCUUCAGGAGGUCCAACAGUCCGGGUCAGGGUAAAAUGUUUUGCACUAAAAUUGUAUAGCCAUGUUGGCUUUGGAGUAAACCAUUCACCUGGGUCAAUUUAAAAACAAGCCCAACUAUUGUGACCCAAGCAGAGUUCAUCAUGUAGAAUUUCUGCUCUUCAUUUGCUCAGAUUUGUAAACUGGGUGUUCAAGAAUUAUGUUUACUUGUUCCAUUAUAAAUAAUAGGUACGGUGCAGUAGGAGUCUCUCAAGAACUAUCAGCAGCCUUAACAAACCACAGUUCCCAGGAUUAUUUGGGGAAAGCCAUCUCUACUUACAGUAUGAUACUGCUUUAAAUGCAUGGUAUGGAUAUGGUCUUGGCCUCUUCCAUGAAGCUGGACAAAAACUGGUCAUUAGUUGUAUUCUGCUAUUCCAAAGAGACUCUUCAAGUGGCAGGCCUAAAAUGAUAACACUGGGCAACAAUUUUUUACUUUUUGAAUGUUGUCUAGAUUUCUACAACUGAUUUAGGGUAUUUUUGCACUGCUGAAUCAGGAAAUGGCAUCCGUUUCUCUCCAUCAGGUCAGGUUUUCUGUAAACUGAAUGGUGGGCAUUGAUAAAGGUAAGUACACGUAAAUUGCAUGUUGCUUCACCAUUUUUCAAACUUCAGGGCUUGAACUUCUGUUUCUUGGAACUCCUGGAAUGCUCAGCAGCACGGAGGUCUCUCUUCAGAGUCCAACAGUAGUCAGCCAUCAUGACUGCGUCCCAGCGACCCUGAUACCUGGUCUCCAUCUCUUUCAUGUCCUGAUGGAAUCUCUCCCCCUGCUCGUCACUCAUUGAACCCAGGUUCUCAGGAAACCGGUCCAUAUGUGAAAAUAGGUAGUGCAUCUUGAAGCUCAUGUUGCAGCCCAGGUUUCUGAAAGCAGUCAGCAUGUUGUUGACAAGUUCUGCGUAGUUUCUGGCCUUAUUGUUGCCAAGAAAGUUCUUCACUACCAGAACAAAUGCCUUCCACGCUUCCAGUUCCACUUCGUUCAUUGAGUUUCCGAACUCUGGAUCUCUGAUGAGCUGACGGAUCUGAGGGCCAUCAAAGAUGCCAGCUUUCAACUUCUCCAUGGUCAAUCCUGGAAAAGCCUGGCACAAGUAAAUGAAGCAGUCACCAUCCUUGUCCAGAGCCUUGGUGAACUGCUUGAUUAAGCCAAGCUUGAUGUGCAGUGGUGGGAAGAGUAUUCUGUCUCUGUCCACCAGAGGGUCGUUGAUGACGUUCCUUUCUUUGCAAGGCACCAAUUCCUCCCACACAGGCCAGUCCAGUUCGUGUAAUGCUGAGCACAGUCCCUACUAUCCCACAUGCACAGAAAACAUGGGUACUUGGUGAAGCCAGACUGUUGUCCCAACAAAAAGUUCACCAUCUUCAGGUCAACACAAAUAAACCACUUAUGCUGAUCAUAACCAAUUUUCUCCAGCACAUACUUCACCGCUUCAUAGUUCUCCUUCAGUGUACUCGAGUGAGCCAGGGGUAUAGAGGCAAACUGGUUGCCGUUGUGUAGCAGAACACAUUUCAGUGAUCGCUUGCUGCUGUCAAUGAACAGUCUCCAAUCUUUGGGUUUGUACUGUGGCACUCCAAGCUUGAGCAGAAGCUGCGCAAUAUCUGCACAGUACACCAAGUCCUUCUCUUCCGAGAAAAAACGGAGGUACUCUUGAUGCCUGUUGCGCAAGAAGCUGAUGCGAGCACUGUCAGAGAGGAGGUUUUUUCCCUUCAAUCUGGAUGGCCAACAGUUCGGCAGAGUCCUUUGACAAGCUGAGGUCGCGAACUAGAUCAUUCAACUCCUUUUGGGAAAAUGGAUGUGGAGCAUCAUCUUCAAGAACCACUUCUUCUUCUUCAUGUCCUUCAACACUGGAGGCAUCUUCGUCACUAAUGUCAGGAAGUUCUCCGAAGAUAGACACUGGAAUUUCAUCACAAUGAGCUACAGGACGACGUGCUGAUUGAAGAUCAGGAUACUUCAUGGGGCGGCUGCCCCAUUAACUUAGUUUUUAUCCCCCAACUUUAUGCUUUGCUGGACCAAUUUAUGGAAGAUUUCGAGGUUUUAUGACUUCAAACUGAUCCCUUUUCGACAUAAUCACCCAGCAUUAUCGGACCUGAAUACUUCUUGUCAUUAAAAUAAUCAUUUCCAAUCAAAACAAUUAUUUGACAAGGCAUUUUACCCCCACCAACUUCUUCUAAAAUGCUCCACACAAGUGUACAUGUGAACAAAAACGUAAAAAAGACAUGUGGCCAUAGCUCAAAAACUUGACCUGAUUGAGCAAAACCAAUGUGAUUUUUUGAUUCAGCGCAUCAGAUUCAUCCUAAAUCAGCUGAAAAAACACAGACAACAAAUUUGUUGUUGACCAGUGUAAUCUGAGUGAUUUCCUUAUUUCACCAGAUAUAUUUCCAUCACAAUUCUUACUCAUGCACCUGCUUUGAAACCCUUUCGGUAUGUGGCCCUGAUUCCAUGACAUAUUGAUAACUAUAGCUGCACUGAAUGUUCAUGUGUAGAUAUUUUCACUGCAAAAGUGUGGCUUGGUUGCUGCUAGUCCAUGGCUGAUGGUUUUCCUGUUCCAAUGCUUUGGCAUAACUUUUGUGAGUGUGUGUAAUUUUCCACAGUAAUAUGGUUCCAGAAGACUGAAUAUUGAGUCAUGAACAUGAUGCUGCCGUGAGGGCAGGAAGCUCCAGGUUAAUUUUGAAUCGGAUUUGUGACAUUGCCUAUUCUGAGUGGCUAUAUGGUAAUGUCACAAAGCCAACGUAGAGUAUAGACAAUCCUCCCAACUGUUUCAACCACUUUGCAUUGGCCAUAUCUGCAACAGAAGAGACAUUGAAAGAUGGCACAAAGCCUAAAUUAUUAGGUUUAUACAGUAUAGGUCUGGUUUGGGGAAACUUUUUCUGAGGGUCACCUUCCCUUUUGGGAGUGGGGCAUAUGCCAAUGGUGGGCAGGGUCAGAGACGGGUGUAUGGAGUAAUAUAUGUUAUUUUUACCCUUUUUAAAUACAGCAGGAUGCUUUCCACCCCCAUCGCUCUCUAUCCACCAUCCAGACACACUUGAGGUACCAUCAGAAUUCAAGAACAUGCCACUGCCCAACAAAAGCACUCAAGGAAAGUGCAAAGCUAAGUCUGUGAGGGAUAUGGCUGGGAAGAGGAUGUGGCAUGGGGAGAAUCUUGGGGGCUGGGGAAGAGGGUUGGAGGGUUGCAUUUGCCCCCCUGGUCUGAUAACAUUUAUGGAGCAUUUUCUAAGCAUACAUAAAUAUCUACAGUGGUGCCCCGCAAGACGAAUGCCUCACAAGACGAAAAACUCGCUAGACGAAAGAGUUUUCCGUUUUUUGAGUCGUUCCGCAAGACGAAUUUCCCUAUGGGCUUGCUUCGCAAGACGAAACGUCUUGCGAGUUCUUGCGAGUUUGUUUCCUUUUUCUUAAAGCCGCUAAGCCGUUAAUAGCCGCUAAGCCGCUAAUAGCCGUGCUUCGCAAGACGAAAAAACCGCAAGACGAAGAGACUCACGGAACGGAUUAAUUUCGUCUUGCGAGGCACCACUGUAUCUGCUCAUUAAUUUUUAAUUUUUCUGGUGAAAUAGACUCUACUCCACUAAAUUUUAUGCCAGAAUAAUCUGCUAGACUACACCCAUUUAUCUGGGAGUAAACCCCAUUGGAUUAAAUGGGAAUUACCUCUGAGUAGAAAUGUAUAGGCUAACAAUAUUAGCCUAUACAUAUAACCUCUUUAAGGUGCCACAAGAAUGAAUGAAUUACUUUAUUACGGUCACAGACCAGCAUAAGCAAAACAUCUAAAUAGAUAGCGUAACAAUAUCUCUAAGCGGAUAAUUAUUAAAUAAAUGGGAGCAAGAACCAAACAUAGAUUAAAACAUAUACAUAGAACACUUGAUUAAGCAUAGGUAAUGGAUGAGUAAAACUGAUAAGAAAAAUUAAAAGAGAUCAGUUAAAAACAGCUGUAUGGGGUGGGGCUUCAGAAGUGCGGAUCUAACAAUAUGGGCUUUCAGUUUAGGACUGAUUUGUAACAUGGACCAUCCUUCGACAAAUAUCUACCAUGGCAGCGCAAAAUCUGGAGACUAAAUAUGUGACUUCUGGGCUUUUGUCCUGUAGUAAUAGGGAGAUGUAGUGUUGUUCUGAAUGCCCAGGGAACUUAUAUAGGAUGGGCUGGAUAAACCUAGCUCGAAUGUCUAUGUAAUACAGUCAUACCUUGGGUUACGAACGCUGUGGGUUGCGCGUUUUCAGGUUGUGGACCGUGCCAAACCUGGAAGUACCAGAACGGGUUACUUCUGGGUUUCGGUGCUCGCGCAUGCGCAGAAGUGCCGAAUCGCAUCAUGUGCGUGCGCAGACGCGGCGCUUCAGGCUGCGAACGCUGUGGGUUGCGAACAUGCCUACUGCACGGAUUAUGUUCGCAACCAGACGUAUGACUACUGGCAAUGAAGAAGGGCAUGCUCCAUUGUUUCCUGCUGCCCAGAGCCACAUGGGCAUUUUCUCUCCUCAUAUGGUAUCUUCCUAUAACGGCCUUCCUGAACUGCUGAAGGGAGGGCCUGACAACAGGCCAAAGUGAAACCCCUUCAUGGUUUUGGUAUUUCAAGGUUAGCUAUGUAUUGCAUUUGGGAAGUCGAUUAUCUUCUAGUUUUGUUAAUUAAAAUUUGGGGGGACCUGGCUAGGUCUACCUGUCAUUCUAUGUCUACCACACGCUGUUUAAUAAUGUUUUUUGCUUGUCGUGCCCCAUGUUAAGUAAGAUCUGUGGAUUGAAUCCUAGACUUGUUAUUAUAUUAUCCACAGCUCGUUUCCAUAACAAUUGGAAAUUUUCUUUAAUAGUCAGGGAAGCAAGGCCACUCGGAAGGGAGGCUAGUCUCAGCCAGUGAUUAAGAGUGGCAAGCCACACUGGCCUCAAUUCUUAUGAAUCCAGUUUUGAGGCGUAUUGUAGCGUUGGAGAUAUAUUUAGGUACUUGUAGGACAGAUCUUAAGAAUUUGGAUUGCACCAAUUCUAAUGGAGUGCAGUUGGCAAAGGGGCCUAAUUGGGCACCAUAUAACAGUUGUGCAAUCGAUUUGGCCUCAAACAAUUUGAGGGCUGCCGGUACAUAGUGUCCACCUUUGGACCUAAGGUACCUAAGAAUGGUGUUAGCACUUCUCUGAGCAUUCCCUGCAGUGUAGAUGCCAUGGAUUUUUCUACUUCCCGAUGAGUGAAGGGCUAUACCCAGGUAUUUAAAGCAGGUGACCUGCUUGAUCUUAUGACCGUCAAU